rnacentral:rRNA from 1 species
AUUGAACGCUGGCGGCAUGCCUUACACAUGCAAGUCGAACGGUAACAGGUCUUCGGAUGCUGACGAGUGGCGAACGGGUGAGUAAUACAUCGGAACGUGCCUAGUAGUGGGGGAUAACUACGCGAAAGAGUGGCUAAUACCGCAUGAGAUCUACGGAUGAAAGCAGGGGAUCGCAAGACCUUGUGCUACUAGAGCGGCCGAUGGCAGAUUAGGUAGUUGGUGGGAUAAAAGCUUACCAAGCAGACGAUCUGUAGCUGGUCUGAGAGGACGAUCAGCCACACUGGGACUGAGACACGGCCCAGACUCCUACGGGAGGCAGCAGUGGGGAAUUUUGGACAAUGGGCGCAAGCCUGAUCCAGCAAUGCCGCGUGCAGGAUGAAGGCCUUCGGGUUGUAAACUGCUUUUGUACGGAACGAAAAGCCCUGGGUUAAUACCCUGGGGUCAUGACGGUACCGUAAGAAUAAGCACCGGCUAACUACGUGCCAGCCGCCGCGGUAAAAC